rnacentral:rRNA from 1 species
CGGUGGAGUGAUUUGUCUGCUUAAUUGCGAUAACGAACGAGAUCUCUGCCAAUAAAUAGAUGCUGCUUCCACUUCGUAGGCCGGUGAGUGCAAUAGCUUGCUUGACCACUAAUCAACGUGCUGAGGAGACAGAUUUUUACUUAUUGGGAUUAUGCAUCUCUUAAAUGCAUUGAGACGAGAGCCAAUAGCA